rnacentral:rRNA from 1 species
CCUACGGGUGGCUGCAGUAGGGAAUAUUGCUCAAUGGGGGAAACCCUGAACCAGCAACGCCGCGUGGGGGAUGAAGGUUUUCGGAUUGUAAACCCCUUUUGUCAGAGAAGAAAAUGACGGUACCUAACGAAUAAGCCCCGGCCAACCCCGUUCCAGCAGCCGCGGUAAUACGGUGGGUGCAAGCGUUACUCGGAAUCACUGGUCGUAAAGAGCGCGCAGGCGGGAGAGCAAGGCCGAUGUGAAAUCCUAUGGCUUAACCAUAGAACUGCAUUUGAAACUGUUAUGCUAGAGUAUGGGAGAGGUAGGUGGAAUUCGUGGUGUAGGGGUAAAAUGCGUAGAGAUCAAGAGGAAUACUGAUUGCGAAGGCGACCUGCUGGAACAUAACUGACGCUGAGGCGCGAAAGCGUGGGGAGCAAACAGGAUUAGAUACCCUGGUAGUC